GAUGAACGCUGGCGGCGUGCUUAACACAUGCAAGUCGAACGAUGAAGCCCAGCUUGCUGGGUGGAUUAGUGGCGAACGGGUGAGUAACACGUGAGUAACCUGCCCUUAACUCUGGGAUAAGCCUGGGAAACUGGGUCUAAUAUCGGAUAGGAGCGCCUACCGCAUGGUGGGUGUUGGAAAGAUUUAUCGGUUUUGGAUGGACUCGCGGCCUAUCAGCUUGUUGGUGAGGUAAUGGCUCACCAAGGCGACGACGGGUAGCCGGCCUGAGAGGGUGACCGGCCACACUGGGACUGAGACACGGCCCAGACUCCUACGGGAGGCAGCAGUGGGGAAUAUUGCACAAUGGGCGAAAGCCUGAUGCAGCGACGCCGCGUGAGGGAUGACGGCCUUCGGGUUGUAAACCUCUUUCAGUAGGGAAGAAGCGAAAGUGACGGUACCUGCAGAAGAAGCACCGGCUAACUACGUG
rnacentral:rRNA from 1 species